GAUGAACGCUGGCGGCGUGCCUAAUACAUGCAAGUCGAGCGAACGGACGAGAAGCUUGCUUCUCUGAUGUUAGCGGCGGACGGGUGAGUAACACGUGGAUAACCUACCUAUAAGACUGGGAUAACUUCGGGAAACCGUAGCUAAUACCGGAUAAUAUUUUGAACCGCAUGGUUCAAAGGUGAAAGACGGUCUUGCUGUCACUUAUAGAUGGAUACGCGCUGCAUUAGCUAGUUGGUAAGGUAACGGCUUACCAAGGCAACGAUGCAUAGCCGACCUGAGAGGGUGAUCGGCCACACUGGAACUGAGACACGGUCCAGACUCCUACGGGAGGCAGCAGUAGGGAAUCUUCCGCAAUGGGCGAAAGCCUGACGGAGCAACGCCGCGUGAGUGAUGAAGGUCUUCGGAUCGUAAAACUCUGUUAUUAGGGAAGAACAUAUGUGUAAGUAACUGUGCACAUCUUGACGGUACCUAAUCAGAAAGCCACGGCUAACUACGUG
rnacentral:rRNA from 1 species